rnacentral:tRNA from 2 species
ACUCUCUUAGUAUAGCAUAUAGUACAGCUGACUUCCAAUCAGCCAGCCUUAGUUAAAAUCUGAGAGAGAGUA